GUUAAUUUUAACGGCGCCAAAUGCCUGGAGGACACAUGAAUGCCCUGAAGAUUGUCCGUUUCGCAUUUAAGGAUUUCACCUGCAUUGCAAAAUGCUCCAUAUGUCACAGAACAAUUAAGGAGACAGCAGAGACUACCUCAAAUUUUAAUCGACAUCUGUCAAAACUGCAUCUAGAAAAGUUCCAAGAAUACCAGGCUUCCUCCACGGUCACAAUCUGCUACCUCGACCACCAUUAAAUCAUUCUUUGGUGGACAGCAGAAAAUCUACGACCUGAAACAUCCACGUCAAAAGCCUAUAAGUGAUGCCCUUGUCAAAGACCUAAUAAUUAAAUGUGGCUUGCCCCUCUCCAUCGUUGACCAUCAGGACUUCAGGCACUUUAUUCAUGUCAUUGACUCUCUGUAUGUGCCAGUAGCAAGGUCCACUAUUACCCCUGUGACCAUUCCAGGCAUGGUGAAAGCCAAAAAGGAGCUAAUUAAGAGCCGGCUGGCAGAAGUUUCCAGGGUCUCUGUAACUACAGACAUAUGGAGUGACAGGAAGAUGAGGUCAUUUCUUGGGGUGACCACUCACACAGUGACACAGUGACUCAACAGAUGAAACAACCAAUGAAAUUAGCCUUCAAUCCUAUCUUCUCGCCUGUGAGCAAGUGCAUUGGAAACACUCAGGCGAAAACAUUGCCAUGCUGUUUGAAUCCUGUGUUGAGAAGUACCCGAUUAAAGGCAAGAUAAUGUUUGUAAUAACAGAUAAUGUGUCAAACAUGAGGAAAGCCUUCCAGACCAGCUUUCCCCGAGAGGAUCCCUGUGAUGCUGAAGUUGAAGAUCCCAUCACACAUGGGCGUAGAAUUGCGUGGGGUCCGCAGGACGUGUCCACACCAAUAUCAAAAAAAGAUGCCCUACAAAGUUUCCUUUCACAAAUGCGUUCUUUGUAGCAUCCGUGCUAGACCCCACUUUCAGUUUCCAGUGGCUGGAACAUGAUGUGCAACUGGACCGUCUCAGCAAAAAAACGUUUGAAGAAUGACAUCAAAGAGUACAUAAAGGCAGAGGGUGACGACCAAGUGCCACCAACAGCAGAUGCAGACACUGGAUUAGAGGAAAGUGAUGCAACAGUGACAGAGUCUCCUCCUGAAAAGCAGCCAAGACUGUUCUCCCACUACAGGAAGACUCUCCCUUCUGCCGAGAAGCCUUCUGUGCAGCCUAAACUGACUGGAUACCUCCACUUGAUUACAGAGGAGAACAUUACCUCAAUCUCAUCUCAAUACCUCAAGUUUUGGCAACAAAACAAAUACAAAUUCGGUGUAGACAGACGCUGGCACACUCGCAACUUCUUUUCUUACUUACUUAACAACCACUUAACUUAAACUUUGUUAAUAUUUCUAUUUUAGUUUUACCUUAGUGGUUACUUUCUGCACGUUUUUAGUUUAGGUUUAGUAGAGGGUAGUUAUUUAGUUGACCCGGAAGACUCACAUCUUAAGUUGCCUGUUUUGCGAACUGUGCGUCGGGCACGGGAGUUAAACAUCCCAGCAAGUAAGCAUGAGGCCUUCUUUUGUGUUUCCUUUUUCUGUCCUUUUGUAACCACCCAGGCUUUUCUGUUUGUUAACGGGGGGUUUUUUUUGCAAUAUGUUAUAAUCAUAUUCGUCAAUAUAGUGAACAAAGGAAAAUAUUAAAAUAUGAUUUCCCCCGCAAACCUGUUUUCACUCUUUUAUGUUGUGUAAUCCAAUUUGCCUGAAAUGAUUGGUUGGAUUUCGUAACACCUGCCCUCUUUCAGAUUGCAACAAAGGUGUUCUCCAUCCCUGCCUCCAGUGUGCCCAUUGAAAAAGUAUUCAGUCAAGAUGGCAUUUUAAUGAGGCCUCAUCGGGCAAGGUUGGGUAGUGGCAUGGUGUCGAACCUGAUGUACUUGAAAUGCAACAUGUCUGUAUAACAUGAUUAUGCAUGCGAGAUAUGCAUUUUUGUGUGUUGUGUUUUUUGAAGUUAAGUAUGAGUAAAAGAU